GACGAACGCUGGCGGCGUGCUUAACACAUGCAAGUCGAACGGAAAGGCCCUGCUUUUGUGGGGUGCUCGAGUGGCGAACGGGUGAGUAACACGUGAGUAACCUGCCCUUGACUUUGGGAUGACUUCAGGAAACUGGGGCUAAUACCGGAUAGGAGCUCCUGCUGCAUGGUGGGGGUUGGACAGUUUCGGCGGUUGGGGAUGGACUCGCGGCUUAUCAGCUUGUUGGUGGGGUAGUGGCUUACCAAGGCUUUGACGGGUAGCCGGCCUGAGAGGGUGACCGGCCACAUUGGGACUGAGGUACGGCCCAGACUCCUACGGGAGGCAGCAGUGGGGAAUAUUGCACAAUGGGCGGAAGCCUGAUGCAGCAACGCCGCGUGCGGGAUGACGGCCUUCGGGUUGUAAACCGCUUUCGCCUGUGACGAAGCGUGAGUGACGGUAAUGGGUAAAGAAGCACCGGCUAACUACGUG
rnacentral:rRNA from 1 species